UUAAAUUGAAGAGUUUGAUCAUGGCUCAGAUUGAACGCUGGCGGCAGGCCUAACACAUGCAAGUCGAACGGUAACAGGAAGCAGCUUGCUGCUUCGCUGACGAGUGGCGGACGGGUGAGUAAUGUCUGGGAAACUGCCUGAUGGAGGGGGAUAACUACUGGAAACGGUAGCUAAUACCGCAUAACGUCGCAAGACCAAAGAGGGGGACCUUCGGGCCUCUUGCCAUCGGAUGUGCCCAGAUGGGAUUAGCUAGUAGGUGGGGUAACGGCUCACCUAGGCGACGAUCCCUAGCUGGUCUGAGAGGAUGACCAGCCACACUGGAACUGAGACACGGUCCAGACUCCUACGGGAGGCAGCAGUGGGGAA
rnacentral:rRNA from 1 species